AUUGAACGCUGGCGGCAGGCUUAACACAUGCAAGUCGAGCGGAGAUGAGGUGCUUGCACCUUAUCUUAGCGGCGGACGGGUGAGUAAUGCUUAGGAAUCUGCCUAUUAGUGGGGGACAACAUUCCGAAAGGCAUGAUAAUACCGCAUACGUCCUACGGGAGAAAGCAGGGGAUCUUCGGACCUUGCGUUAAUAGAUGAGCCUAAGUCGGAUUAGCUAGUGGGUGGGGUAAAGGCGUACCAAGGCGACGAUGUGUAGCGGGUCUGAGAGGAGAAUACGCCAAGCUGGGAUGAAGACACGGCCCAGACUCCUACGGGAGGCAGAAGUGGGGAAUAUUGGACAAUGGGGGAAACCCUGAUCCAGCCAUGCCGCGUGUGAGAAGAAGGCCUUAUGGUUGUAAAGCACUUUAAGCGAGGAGGAGGCUACUGAGACUAAUACUCUUGGAUAGUGGACGUUACUCGCAGAAUAAGCAUCGGCUAACUCUGUGCCAGCCGCCGCGGUAAUAC
rnacentral:rRNA from 1 species